CGGAUCUCCGCGUUCCAGAUCAGUCUGCUCUACAGAGUGACACCCGGCCUUAACACAAUCCAAAAGAACAGUCUUUGAGACUUCCAGGCAGGUCCAGACUUUAACUCCGGCUCCGCCACUUCCAGGAAGGGAGGCCUGGGGGCUUGCCACUAGCGGUCAAGCUUGUUAGUUUCAUCCCAGAAACCGGGUUCCGAGAGCGCCCCUCUCCUCACCGCGCGUAAGGGGUUUGGGAAGAAGAGUCCGCAGCCAGUGCUCCAGGGGAAGAAGCGGUCCGGGUUCCAGCGCGCCCUGGUCCCCACAGUAGACCGCUCGACCCCACCGCGUGAUGCCUUCCGCUUUCCGCGCGCGACGCCGCCAAAGCCCGCCCGCGUCUAGCUGCGCCACCCGCCUCGGCUCGGAGAAGCCAUGGCAACCGCAGGCGCCCUAGCACGUCAGAGCAUGCGCCUCGCAGGCCGCGGACUACAAGUCCCAGCAGGCCGCGCACCGCACGCCCCACCCCCUCCUCCGUCUCUGCUUUGCCUCCUUUUGUAGGCUUGGGGCUUGGAGCUGUAGCUCAUAAUGGCCUGCUGAGCUGAUGGUGCUGGGUAUGCUGUGUGAGAGGUGACUGACCGCAGAGUUCAGAAGGCAUCAAUUCCCUGGAGCUGCAGGCACAGAUCUCAGGAACCCCCAGAAGACCACCACCACGGAAGAACCACCGAAUCCCCUGUGUAAAAGCACAGAGCCUUUAUUCAAGCAAGUUGGAGCUUGGACCCUCCAGGUGUCCGACACAGUGGAAUGAUCACCGUCGAAGAGUACCAAGCCCAGACACUCACAGUAGAGGUUUCUUUGGGCAACAAUUGAAGUCAUGUCUUUUCUACAGCUUCCCCUCAUUCAC